rnacentral:pre_miRNA from 1 species
UACAUACUCCCUCCGUUCCAUAAUUCUUGUCUCAAAUUUGCCCAAAUAUAGAUGUAUCUAUUCUUAAAAAGCGUCUAGAUACAUGUAAUAUUUCGACAAGAAUUGUGGGAUGGAGGGAGUAGGAG